rnacentral:rRNA from 1 species
UACGGGGGGGGCAAGCGUUGUUCGGAAUUACUGGGCGUAAAGGGCUCGUAGGCGGCCAACUAAGUCGGAUGUGAAAUCCCCAGGCUUAACCUGGGAACUGCAUCCGAUACUGGAUGGCUUGAAUCCGGGAGAGGGAUGCAGAAUUCCAGGUGUAGCGGUGAAAUGCGUAGAUAUCUGGAGGAAUACCGGUGGCGAAGGCGGGUCUCUGGGCCGAAACUGACGCUGAGGAGCGAAAGCGUGGGGAGCAAACAGG